rnacentral:rRNA from 1 species
ACUCCUGCGGGAGGCAGCAGUGGGGAAUAUUGCACAAUGGGCGCAAGCCUGAUGCAGCCAUGCCGCGUGUAUGAAGAAGGCCUUCGGGUUGUAAAGUACUUUCAGCGGGGAGGAAGGCGAUAAGGUUAAUAACCUUGUUGAUUGACGUUACCCGCAGAAGAAGCACCGGCUAACUCCGUGCCAGCAGCCGCGGUAAUACGGAGGGUGCAAGCGUUAAUCGGAAUUACUGGGCGUAAAGCGCACGCAGGCGGUCUGUCAAGUCGGAUGUGAAAUCCCCGGGCUCAACCUGGGAACUGCAUUCGAAACUGGCAGGCUAGAGUCUUGUAGAGGGGGGUAGAAUUCCAGGUGUAGCGGUGAAAUGCGUAGAGAUCUGGAGGAAUACCGGUGGCGAAGGCGGCACCCUGGACAAAGACUGACGCUCAGGUGCGAAAGCGUGGGGAGCAAACAGGAUUAGAAACCCGGGUAGUCCCA